CCCCCCCCCCCACUGCCCCCUGCCGCCGUGCGCCCUCCCCGGACGCCCCGUCGCAGCCCGCCCUCCCCGGACCCCCGCGCCGCCGUGCCGCCACCGGGAUCCAACCGCCGACGAGCGGCUCUCCACGACCCCCCGCCCAGUUGUGGUCGUCGCCAGAUGCCUCGCUGCUGCCGAACGCCGUCUUCCUUCCGGCAACCACGCACCGUCCGAGCGCCGCCAUGCCUUCUCGCACCAGUCUCCUCCGCCAUGCCCCUGCAGGAAGCUGGUGCCGCUGCAAGAAGUUCAAAUGUCACUGUAGCGGCCGGACGGAUUUGACACACUGUGCCUCCACGGUGCUCCCUCCCACAAAGAGGCGGUUCACGGUUGCUAGACGAUGAAUUAACCUCGCCUCUGCUGCUCCAUUUGGAUGGCAUGCCACACCCUUUCUUUUGGAGACUUCAUAUUCUAAUUUUCUUUAGGGGAAAUUGAUGUGUUGUGUUGCUCUCUGCUUGAUGUGCUAAUGACGGACGUGAGUUCGUCGCUAUCUCUGAAUCUCAGUGUGUUGUUUGCAUCGCCUAUUGCUCCCGGCGAGCUUGUCCGUCGUCGUCGUCAGACUUUCUUGCGCAUCGCAAGAGCUAUAAACACGGUUCUGUUUGUUCCAUUUGUACAACUGAACUUGUUGCCUCAGCUCUACUCGUUCAAGCGACGGGUAACUCUGAUGUUUGUUUCUACAA